GAUCUUUGGACAGCUGGAAGCACCUUUGGAAGCAUCAAGGAAUAAUCAAGCCCUUCACGAAGACAAAAAUUGUGGUCUUUCCACAAUAGUCUCCUGCCGGAUUGCCUGGAGCAACGAAACCAAAACAAAACAAAAAAGCUAUGACAAUCAGCUUGAUCACAGGAAAUAUACUGAAGUGCUAUGGACUUCCUUCUUAUACAGCUUGAUUACUAGAUGAUUAUAUUAAACAGUGUAAGUUCAGCAGAAUUUAUACAGAUGUGUUUUGUACAGGAAGUUCCAUGUACAGAUAUUUAGCAUGGUUCAUAUUUUUCAGAAAGGAAGGUAUGCUGCCAUACAUAUCAUAUGUCCAGAUCCAAACACAGCAUAUUAGGUGUGAACAGGACUUAUUAGUCAUUGAGCUCUGAUUGUGUGAUCAUCACUGCUGAAACUGAGAAAAUCGGGAAGCUGAGCACAAAUCCAACAUGAGUAGCACUCCUGUUAAAAAAAUUCAUUGCUUGUUUUAUAGCCAAGGACUUCACCCCUGUGGUGUGAUCUCAAGGAAAGUACUAAUAAAGUGGCAUUGUUAUUCACUGA